rfam:Cochliobolus heterostrophus C5 unplaced genomic scaffold COCHEscaffold_18, whole genome shotgun sequence.
GACACAAUGGCCGAGUGGUCUAAGGCGGUAGAUUUAAGUGUUACUUAGAUCUCUACUACAGUAAUGUGCGUGGGUUCAAAUCCCACUUGUGUCA